UGAGGAAUAUUGGUCAAUGGGCGAGAGCCUGAACCAGCCAAGUAGCGUGCAGGAAGACGGCCCUAUGGGUUGUAAACUGCUUUUAUGUGGGGAUAAAGUGCGUGACGUGUCAUGCAUUGCAGGUACCACAUGAAUAAGGACCGGCUAAUUGCGUGCCAGCAGCCGCGGUAAUACGGAAGGUCCGGGCGUUAUCCGGAUUUAUUGGGUUUAAAGGGAGCGUAGGCUGUCUAUUAAGCGUGUUGUGAAAUAUACCGGCUCAACCGGUGGCUUGCAGCGCGAACUGGUCGACUUGAGUAUGCAGGAAGUAGGCGGAAUUCAUGGUGUAGCGGUGAAAUGCUUAGAUAUCAUGACGAACUCCGAUUGCGCAGGCAGCUUACUGUAGCAUAACUGACGCUGAUGCUCGAAAGUGCGGGUAUCAAACAGG
rnacentral:rRNA from 1 species